CUGGCAGGAUGAAAAGGAACACACUCUUCAGAGAUGCUGUUGUUGGGGGGGAAGCAAACUGAGUCACAGCACCCUACUGGGGGAUGUCUGAUGGAGUUUCACCUGCCUAGAUCACCAUCAGGGGAUGGAUGAAGGUUUGUUGAUUAAGCCUCACAACUCAAGUCUCCACAGCAUUAACAAAACUGACUGUGUAGAAAGCGGUCUCGUCAGCCCUUGGAUCUUGUUGUCCAGGAGAAUACGGCCAGAAGAGAGGAAGGCUAGUCCGGAGAUUAAGGGCCUGCAAUUUGGGAGAUCCAAGUUCAAUUCUUUGCUGUCACAGACUCC